rnacentral:rRNA from 1 species
GAUGAACGCUGGCGGCGUGCCUAAUACAUGCAAGUCGAGCGAACGGACGAGAAGCUUGCUUCUCUGAUGUUAGCGGCGGACGGGUGAGUAACACGUGGAUAACCUACCUAUAAGACUGGGAUAACUUCGGGAAACCGUAGCUAAUACCGGAUAAUAUUUUGAACCGCAUGGUUCAAAGGUGAAAGACGGUCUUGCUGUCACUUAUAGAUGGAUCCGCGCUGCAUUAGCUAGUUGGUAAGGUAACGGCUUACCAAGGCAACGAUGCAUAGCUGACCUGAGAGGGUGAUCGGCCACACUGGAACUGAGACGCGGUCCAGACUCCUACGGGAGGCACCAGUAGGGAAUCUUCCGCUAUGGGCUAAAGCCUGACUGAGCAACGCGGCUUGAGUGAUGAAGGUCUUCGGAUCGUAAAACUCUGUUAAUAGGGACGAACAUAUGUGUAAGUAACUGUGCACAUAUUGACGGUACCUAAUCAGAAAGCCACGGCUAACUACGUG